GAUGCCAGAGAGCGAUAGACCUCAACACACUUGGAUACCUCGAGUAAUAAGGUGUAUCUCUGUGAUUUUCUUCAUCCUGUUUAAUGUUCAAGCGAUAGUUGGAUGUGUGUACUUUAAUGACUGUCCAAGGGCGCCCUCCAUUCCCGUCAUUCUGGUUAUUUGUGGAUUCAUACCUGUCUUGUGGGGAUUGAGCCGGUUUUUGAACAGGUGCAAUAUUUUCUUCGACUGUCUGUUCUUCAUCCUCCAUUUUG